UGGUAAAUGAAUGUUGUAUGAUCAGGUGUCACAUGUCAUGUUCAGUACAGGAGUGGUAAAUGAAUGUUGUAUGAUCAGGUGUCACAUGUCAUGUUCAGUACAGGAGUGGUAAAUGAAUGUUGUAUGAUCAGGUGUCACAUGUCAUGUUCAGUACAGGAGUGGUAAAUGAAUGUUGUAUGAUCAGGUGUCACAUGUCAUGUUCAGUACAAGAGUGGUAAAUGAAUGUUGUAUGAUCAGGUGUCACAUGUCAUGUUCAGUACAAGAGUGGUAAAUGAAUGUUGUAUGAUCAGGUGUCACAUGUCAUGUUCAGUACAAGAGUGGUAAAUGAAUGUUGUAUGAUCAGGUGUUACAUGUCAUGUUCAGUACAAGAGUGGUAAAUGAAUGUUGUAUGAUCAGGUGUUACAUGUCAUGUUCAGUACAAGAGUGGUAAAUGAAUGUUGUAUAAUCAGG
rnacentral:lncRNA from 1 species